CAUUUUAACACCGCUUGUGUCAUUUUGUGGGGCUUUGCGUACACUGGAGAGUCUAUUGUAAACAACCGUUACGUGCGGUCUGGCUUGUUACACUGCCUAGUCCCAGGUACGUAAGAUUUAGUAUAUUGCCAGAGGUUUUAGGUGAUGUGGUGUGGGGGUCAGCUAUGUUUAUCUUUACCGCAGCAUUCCCGUGUGUUUACCGUUUGAGUGGGGACAUCCAAUAUAUGCUGUUUGGCAUCUACUUCAUUUCUAUCCCGUGGAUACUGACGUCAGCUCUGCUUUCUGGUGUGGCAAACGGCUGCGUUAUUUGGAGCUGUGUGUCCGACGGCAGUGAGGCUUUCCUUCACCGUGUGCUGUGUUAUGCUGUGUGAGCACCACUGAUAAAAUCACGGGAACAAGACAGCAGCGUAGACUCUUUGAAGGGUCUCUUUGGCUACCUCCCCUGAUUGUGUUUCAGGUCA